GACGAACCGAGCGAACGUUGUUCGGAAUCACUGGGCUUAAAGGGCGCGUAGGCGGGCUGCCAAGUUUGGGGUGAAAUCCUCCGGCUCAACCGGGGAAGGGCCUCGAAUACUGGCGGUCUGGAGGGAGGUAGGGGCGUGCGGAACUGUAGGUGGAGCGGUGAAAUGCGUUGAUAUCUACAGGAACUCCGGUGGCGAAGGCGGCACGCUGGACCUUUUCUGACGCUGAGGCGCGAAAGCCAGGGGAGCGGAACGGG
rnacentral:rRNA from 1 species